GAUGAACGCUAGCGGCAGGCCUAAUACAUGCAAGUCGAACGGUAACAUGAGUAGCAAUACUUGAUGACGAGUGGCGCACGGGUGCGUAACGCGUAUGCAAUCUACUUUUAACUGGUGAAUAGCCCGAAGAAAUUCGGAUUAAUACACCAUAGUAUAUUUGAAUGGCAUCAUUUAAAGAUUAAAACUCCGGUGGUUAAAGCUGAGCAUGCGUGACAUUCGCUAGUUGGGGAGGUGAUGGCUCACCAAGGGUACGAUGUCUAGGGGAUCUGAGAGGAUUAACCCCCACACUGGUACUGAGACACGGACCAGACUCCUACGGGAGGCAGCAGUAAGGAAUAUUGGACAAUGGUCGAAAGACUGAUCCAGCCAUGCCGCGUGAAGGAUGACGGCCCUAUGGGUUGUAAACUUCUUUUGUAUGGGAAAAAACCCUUCUACGUGUAGAAGGCUGAUGGUACCAUAAGAAUAAGGAUCGGCUAACUCCGUGCCAGCAGCCGCGGUAA
rnacentral:rRNA from 1 species